GGUGAACGCUAGCGGCAGGCUUAAUACAUGCAAGUCGAACGGUAACAGGUCCAGCAAUGGAUGCUGACGAGUGGCGCACGGGUGCGUAACACGUAUGCAACCUACCUUUAACUAAGGAAUAGCCCCGAGAAAUCGGGAUUAAUACUUUAUAAAAUUAUGAAAGGGCAUCUUUUUAUAAUUAAAGUUCAGGCGGUUAAAGAUGGGCAUGCGCGACAUUAGCUAGUUGGUAAGGUAACGGCUUACCAAGGCUGCGAUGUCUAGGGGUUCUGAGAAGAUUAUCCCCCAAACUGGUACUGAGACACGGACCAGACUCCUACGGGAGGCAGCAGUAAGGAAUAUUGGGCAAUGGACGCAAGUCUGACCCAGCCAUGCCGCGUGCAGGAUGAAUGCCCUAUGGGUUGUAAACUGCUUUUAUACGGGAAAAAACUCCCGGUCGUGUACCGGGAUUGAUGGUACUGUAAGAAUAAGGAUCGGCUAACUCCGUGCCAGCCGCCGCUGUAAUAC
rnacentral:rRNA from 1 species